rnacentral:sRNA from 1 species
AUGUACUGGAUCUGGGGUGUUUGUUUGGCCACCUUAAGUUUCACUGGACUGGACUACUUAGGUAGGAUUAUUAUUCUAUGUUUGGUGCAAGCCGGGAUUAAGUUUAAUGGGAUUUAGCUGGGCUUAGCGAGAACUUGCCUUCCCACUGCCUUCCUCCCCACCUCCCUCUCGUCUGUCCAGAAGAUCUCAAAGUCUGCAAGAAACGAUUCAAAUGAAUCUAAAAGUCCAAGUCUGCAAGACUUGAUUUGCAGGAUAAAGGGUUCUGGGUUGGGCACUUUGCGUUUUCUCUCGAAGGAUUACAACUACGGAGGGUUUCAAAAUAUUUGAUGGAAGGUUGAGAAGGAAUUUUUCUUUGAAAUACCAAAUUGAAGGAUUUGAUUUUUCUGGGAUAUUACAGCUUUUUAGCAAUUUGGAGUGGUUGAUCAAAUUGAAUGAUUUCAGUAGUUAUGCUUUUUAUGGGAUAGCAAAUUGAAGGAUUUCAUUUAGUUUUGAUUUUUCUGGAAUUUGGUAAUUGUGCAGAAACUUUCGAUGUUGGGGUUCAUCUUUGUUUAUACCAUAUUUAGGGUCUAGUAUUUAGAUCUCGUACAAAUACUCGAGAUACUUAAAUGUAAUUAUGUUAUAAAGGAAGGGGCAAAUAUGUA